rnacentral:tRNA from 1 species
GCGCCGUUAGCUCAGCCUGGAUAGAGCGGUGGGGUCCUAACCCAUAGGCCGGGGGUUCAAAUCCUCCACGGCGCG